rnacentral:rRNA from 1 species
UGCAAGUCGAACGGUAACAUGUCUUCGGACGCUGACUAGUGGCGAACGGGUGAGUAAUACAUCGGAACGUGGCCAGUCGUGGGGGAUAACUACUCGAAAGAGUAGCUAAUACCGCAUACGAUCUGAAGAUGAAAGCGGGGGACCUUCGGGCCUCGCGCGAUUGGCGCGGCCGAUGGCAGAUUACGUAGUUGGUGGGAUAAAAGCUUACCUCGCCGACGAUCUGAAGCUGGUCUGAGAGGACAACCAGCCCCACUGGGACUGAAACGCGGCCCAGACUCCUACCGUAGGCAACGGUGGGGAAUUUUGGACUAUGGGCGAAAGCCUGAUCCGACAAUGCCGCGUGCAGGAUGAAAGCCUUCGGGUUGUAAACUGCUUUUGUACCGAACGAAAAAACUUCUCCUAAUACCAGAGGCCCAUGACGGUACCGUAAGAAUAAGCACCGGCUAACUACAUGCCAGCGGCCGCGGUAAUACGUAUGGUGCGAGCGUUAAUCAGAAUUACUGGGCGUAAAGCGUGCGCAGGCGGUUAUGUAAGACAGAUGUGAAAUCCCCGGGCUCAACCUGAGAACUGCAUUUGUGACUGCAUGGCUAGAGUACGGUAGAUGGGGAUGGAAUUCCGCGUG